UCGGAAACGAAGGAUCCGACCCGUGUCCAACCGCACCUGAAGAAGUGUUUCGAGGGUAUCGCAUCGCUCAACUUUACCGAGGCGCUCGACAUUACGGUCAUGCGGUCGAGCGAGGGUGAAGAGGUGGAUCUGGUUGAGGAGGUGUCCACGAGCAAGGCGAAGGGGCAGGUGGAGAAGUGGUUGCUCG
rnacentral:lncRNA from 1 species